rnacentral:rRNA from 1 species
UACGUAGGGGGCAAGCGUUGUCCGGAUUUAUUGGGCGUAAAGAGCGUGUAGGCGGCCAUACAGGUCCGUUGUGAAAACUGGAGGCUUAACCUCCAGACGUCGAUGGAAACCGUAUGGCUAGAGUCCGGAAGAGGAGAGUGGAAUUCCUGGUGUAGCGGUGAAAUGCGCAGAUAUCAGGAAGAACACCCGUGGCGAAGGCGGCUCUCUGGGCCGGUACUGACGCUGAGGAGCGAAAGCGUGGGGAGCGAACAGG